GAGCGGACAGAUGGGAGCUUGCUCCCUGAUGUUAGCGGCGGACGGGUGAGUAACACGUGGGUAACCUGCCUGUAAGACUGGGAUAACUCCGGGAAACCGGGGCUAAUACCGGAUGGUUGUUUGAACCGCAUGGUUCAAACAUAAAAGGUGGCUUCGGCUACCACUUACAGAUGGACCCGCGGCGCAUUAGCUAGUUGGUGAGGUAACGGCUCACCAAGGCAACGAUGCGUAGCCGACCUGAGAGGGUGAUCGGCCACACUGGGACUGAGACACGGCCCAGACUCCUACGGGAGGCAGCAGUAGGGAAUCUUCCGCAAUGGACGAAAGUCUGACGGAGCAACGCCGCGUGAGUGAUGAAGGUUUUCGGAUCGUAAAGCUCUGUUGUUAGGGAAGAACAAGUACCGUUCGAAUAGGGCGGUACCUUGACGGUACCUAACCAGAAAGCCACGGCUAACUACGUGCCAGCAGCCGCGGUAAUACGUAGGUGGCAAGCGUUGUCCGGAAUUAUUGGGCGUAAAGGGCUCGCAGGCGGUUUCUUAAGUCUGAUGUGAAAGCCCCCGGCUCAACCGGGGAGGAUCAUUGGGACUGGGACUGAGUGCGAAGAG
rnacentral:rRNA from 1 species